GACGAACGCUGGCGGCGUGCCUAAUACAUGCAAGUCGAACGCAGUGGGGACGGGUGAGUAACACGUGGGUAACCUCCCAUCAGAGGGGAUAACACUUGGAAACAGGUGCUAAACCGAUACUGAUGGAUGGACCCGCGGUGCAUUAGCUAGUUGGUGGGGUAACGGCUCACCAAGGCCACGUUGCAUAGCCGACCUGGAGGGGGAUUCGGCCACACGGGGACUAAAACACGGCCCAAACUCCAACGGGGGGCAGCGGUAGGGAAUCUUCGGCAAUGGACGAAAGUCUGACCGAGCAACGCCGGGUGAGUGAAGAAGGUUUUCGGAUCGUAAAACUCUGUUGUAAGGGAAGCGGUAUCUAACCAGAAAGCCACGGCUAACUACGUGCCAGCGGCCGCGGUAAUA
rnacentral:rRNA from 1 species